UCCAUUUUCAAGGAUUUGCUCCCUUACUGCCUCCACUUCACCACUUUGUGGCUACUGAGAAGUCUAUGAUUUGUUGAGUAUGUCAUGUGUCUUAUAAUGUUAUAUGAAUUCAUACUUGAUUUGUGAUGAUGAGAGACUUAAUAAUGUUUCCAUGUCUCUUUUAGGUUGACCACCCUAUAUAUGAGAGCCUAAGGAGUUGUUUUCCCUCUGUCCCCUUUUGAGGACCUGCUUUGUCUCCUCCAUCAUUCACUGGGCCACUUUUGGGUUCCUGAGCUUAUUUCAUGUGGUUUUCCUGACCUGCUAGAAGUUCUUCUAUGAUGCUUGAGGCAUCCAUCAUAUCUGAGAGCUUCGUCUUGACUGUCACGAAUUUGGUGAGGAGUGGAGCUGGCUGGCUGCGGACCAGGAAGUAGAGCAAUACAUACUUGUGCACAUACACGUAUAUGAGAAUGCAUAUCUAUU